rnacentral:rRNA from 1 species
AACGAACGCUGGCGGCAGGCUUAACACAUGCAAGUCGAGCGCCCCGCAAGGGGAGCGGCAGACGGGUGAGUAACGCGUGGGAAUCUACCCAUCUCUACGGAACAACUCCGGGAAACUGGAGCUAAUACCGUAUACGUCCUUCGGGCGAAAGAUUUAUCGGAGAUGGAUGAGCCCGCGUUGGAUUAGCUAGUUGGUGGGGUAAUGGCCUACCAAGGCGACGAUCCAGAGCUGGUCUGAGAGGAUGAUCAGCCACACUGGGACUGAGACACGGCCCAGACUCCUACGGGAGGCAGCAGUAGGGAAUAUUGGACAAUGGGCGAAAGCCUGAUCCAGCCAUGCCGCGUGAGUGAUGAAGGCCCUAGGGUUGUAAAGCUCUUUCAACGGUGAAGAUAAUGACGGUAACCGUAGAAGAAGCCCCGGCUAACUUCGUGCCAGCCGCCGCCGUAACAC